rnacentral:rRNA from 1 species
AUUGAACGCUGGCGGCAGGCCUAACACAUGCAAGUCGAGCGGGGUGAUGGUGCUUGCACUAUCACUUAGCGGCGGACGGGUGAGUAAUGCUUAGGAAUCUGCCUAUUAGUGGGGGACAACAUCUCGAAAGGGAUGCUAAUACCGCAUACGUCCUACGGGAGAAAGCAGGGGAUCACUUGUGACCUUGCGCUAAUAGAUGAGCCUAAGUCGGAUUAGCUAGUUGGUGGGGUAAAGGCCUACCAAGGCGACGAUCUGUAGCGGGUCUGAGAGGAUGCUCCGCCACACUGGGACUGAGACACGGCCCAGACUCCUACGGGAGGCAGCAGUGGGGAAUAUUGGACAAUGGGGGGAACCCUGAUCCAGCCAUGCCGCGUGUGUGAAGAAGGCCUUAUGGUUGUAAAGCACUUUAAGCGAGGAGGAGGCUCUUUUGGUUAAUACCCAAGAUGAGUGGACGUUACUCGCAGAAUAAGCACCGGCUAACUCUGUGCCAGCCGCCGCAGUAACAC